UAAAAAAUAAUCAGACAGCAAAAAAAAAAAUAAAUAAAAUUUCUAACAACAUAUAAACAACUCCUUUCUCUCAAACAUGUGUUCUUUUGUUUGAAACCCAGGAAUUUCAAAAUUACAUUCUGCUAUAGUUUUAUGAAAGUCAGCUUAGGGGGAACAGUGAUCCACUAUGCUCCCAUAAUCCAUGAAUUGUUUUCCCUUGAUUAAAUGACAUCAAAACCAUUACUAAAUUGUUUCCAUUUCUUUAUUUAUAGUUCUGGCAAUGAGAUGAGACCCUAAGACAGCUUUUGAAAAUUCCGGGGUGACUCCUAGAUGCAGGUGAAGGUACCCACAGAGCCUUUAUUGUUUGCUGCCUCUUUAGCAGCUUUCUAGGAUCUCUGUUGAAGGCAAUGCAUGUAAAACCCCUCACUGAAGUGUGAAUGAUUGGAGGAGGAAAGCUUGUAAAGGAGAGCUUCUCUGGGAACCACCAUGUAAUUAUGUCACAGAAUGAGUACGCUGUCUGUGGUACAGAUCACAUCCUGCAUCUGAGGCUGACAGGUAAGCCUCUGAUUAUUCUUAUGUAUUCAACUUGAAACCACAAUUGCAGGCUAGUGUGCCUGGGUAGACUGGGACUUGAGAUGACCGCUAUUUAGUGAAUACCUAUUAUGUGUCAGGCCCUGUUAGGUGGUUUAAAAUGUUUCUAAUUAGCCUUAAACAUUUAGUGUUAUCUUUCUAGUAUGUAUGCAAGAAAAUUAAAACUCAGAAAGGUUAAAUAGUUUACUAAGAAUACAUGGCUAUUAAAUGACAAUCUGGGAUUUCAUCCCUAAAUCUAUGGUAUUUCUACUACAACUUACUGUGCACAGAGGUGAUUAAUAGAAUGAAAGAAUCACUGAGGAUGGAACAGGUGGAAAUGGCCUUAUUUCAUGCUCCAAAUAUUAUGGCAUUCAGUUUUGGUAACUCAAUAACAGGGCAGUCAUUCCUUUCAUUACUAUCAACUCUUAUAAUAUUACUACUGGAUUUCUGGCUUGUGUGACAGACAGGAAAACAUAUUUUGGGAAAAACAGUUCAUUUGAUUUAAGUAUGUUUGAAUAUGCUUAAAUGAUGGCAUUCAUAAGAUAUCCAGUUCACAUUUUUUAAUUCAGUGGAAAGGAAAUUCUUCAAGGAAGCAACAGCCCAUGUACACUGAGGGGGCAGUGCCUUUUGACUGUACUCUAUGUAAACACAGAAAUACUAUGUGGCCCUUUUCAUGUCCUUUGAGUAUCAGAAUGAAUCACUGUAAAGGGACAAACUUAAUCAUUUUUCAAAGCUGCCAGCUGGAAUCUUAACUGGAAAUUCUGCAGGAUGACAAUGCCUAUUAAUGCUUUCAGUUGUUUUUAUGAGCAAAAAAAAAAAAAAAAAAUGCUGGAUCAUUCAUUCUUAAAGGAUUAUUAUUGUAACUGUUGUUUUAGUGGUAUGAAGGUAUGUUUCCUAUUUCUUGUGAUUUAUGACUCUACAUCCUUAUGAAUGGCAGCAAUUUUCCACAGGGAACUGUGCAAUGAAAGGAAAGGAUUAAAAGAUAAUUGAUCCCACAUCCUAUGGAAUAGUUGUUAAUCUGUGUUGUAAAGACCUCUUGUUUUUAUUUGUUUGUUUUGUAAUUAUUUUACUUACCUGCUUCUAUAUUGUUUUGUAAUGGACUAAUGUUUUCCCAGUUAUGCUUGGCAUUAUACAAGGCAAUUCUCUAGAUAACAGAGAAUGAUUCAUUAAAAACUGAUAAUGCAAAUUUAUCAUGUCUAUAAAUUAUCAAAAGUUUAAAACAGAUAUCUGAUUUUUCAACUUUUAAGUAAGAUAUCUGGAUCUUUAUUUUUGACUACUUUUAUAAUUUUCUUUGAAAAUAUAUACUUAAUGGUAUUUCUUGAUAGUAAAUAAAAUGUGAAAUAGAGUUGAGUUGUGUUUUUCUGAAUUACUAAUAGGUAGAGCACAGAAUCUACCUACGAUUCUGUAAAUUGACCUUAAAUACUGGAUUAAGUACAAGUACAUAAUUUUUAUUAUAACUCUAUUAUAGUAUGUAUAGAGACUAAAUUUUUAAACACAUUUUAGUAUUAUCACAACUACAUAUUUUUAAAUGUUAGAGCCUUCUCAAUGCUAUAGAAGAUCACUUUUAUCCUAUUCAAAAUAAGUGUUUGACCGUUCAUACUCAAAAAGUUAACAUGUCCAAAUUAAAUAUUUUUUCCUCUUCAUUCACUACAGAAAAUACAUAUCUAGUCAUCAACUUUUCAUACUGACUCAUGACAUGAUUUCCUUAACAAGUUCAUUUGAAGGUCAUUGAUGUUUUGCUUUCCAAGUAUUUCAGUAUCACUGGGUGUUGUACAUUGUAACAGAAGUUUAAUGUGAGAUGAUAAAAAUUUUGUAUAAAACUACAGGCAGUUUUACACGACAGAAAAUGUGUGUCAUGUUAAAUACAGUGGUGGUAUGUUUUCCAUAUUGUAUUCUUUACAUUAAACAUGAAGUAUUUCCGGUGGUAAUAUUAAAACAGUCUCUUAAAAAUAGAAAAACUAGAGAGUUUAGAUAGUAUGAAAGAUCAAAAUAAAAAUGAUCUGUAAGUGAUCACUUUUGAUUGGGUGACUUUACCAAUAGCAGAGUGUCUGUGUUUUGUAGAAUAUAAUACUUCAUUAACAUCUUUCUGUGACAAGUGCAAUCCUCCUGAAAUUUACCUUCAGGAAUUUAUGUAUUUAUUUGUUUAUUUUUGUCUUUCGGGGACUGCAACCACAGUAUAUGAAAGUUCUCACGCUAGGGGUGGAAUUGUAGCUGCAGCUGC